rnacentral:lncRNA from 12 species
UGCCCAGCUGGCGAUCUUGAGUGAUUCGUCUGGUUUCUUAGAGCCUUCAUUUUCUUGUCUGAAAAAUGGGUCUGAUGGUAUCUCUGCCGCCUCCAGGGACGAGCGCUCAAGAAGAACACAAGCCAGUGCCGGUGGAGCGAGGGAGAGACAGGCGGGCAGCAGGGGGACGUCAAUGAAUGAGCUUCGUCCUUCUGGGGAUUGUCAACGUGACUUAUCGUCGCCAUCAAUGUACUUAAGAAUGUUCCGAAGACGACGCAGACUCAAGUGAAAAAAUUGUGGCCAUGGCACCACGGCUGCCAAGAGGGAGACCAAUUAGUACAAAGUA